AGGUAGUAUUACAACAGUGUUAUAGGAGAAAGUACAGGAGUAUUUAAGGAAGUAUUUAAGGUAGUACUACAGCAGUAUUAUAGGAGAAAGUACGGGAGGAUGUAAGGAAGUAUUUAAGGUAGUAUUAUAGGAGAAAGUACAGGAGUAUUUAAGGAAGUAUUUAAGGUAGUACUACAGGAGUGUUAUAGAAGAAAAUACAGGAGUAUUUAAUGAAGUAUUUAAGAAAGUAUUACAGCAGUGUUAUCGGAGAAAGUACAGGAAUAUUUAAGGAAGUAUUGAAGGUAGUACUACAGCAGUAUUAUAGGAGAACGUACAGGAGUAUUUAAGGAAGUAUUUAAGGUAGUACUACAGCAGUAUUAUAGGAGAAGGUACAGGAGUAUUUAAGGAAGUAUUACAGCAGUGUUAUAGGAGAAAGCACAGGAGUAUUUAAGGACGUAUUUAAGGUAGUAUUACAGCAAUGUUAUAGGAGAAAGUACAGGAGUAUUUAAGGAAGUAUUUAAGGUAGUAUUACAGCAGUGUUAUAGGAGAAAGCACAGGAGUAUUUAAGGAAAUAUUUAAGGUAGUACUACAGCAGUAUUAUAGGAGAACGUACAGGAGUAUUUAAGGAAGUAUUUAAGGUAGUACUACAGCAGUAUUAUAGGAGAAGGUACAGGAGUAUUUAAGGAAGUAUUACAGCAGUGUUAUAGGAGAAAGCACAAGAGUAUUUAAGGAAGUAUUUAAGGUAGUACUACAGCAGUAUUAUAGGAGAAGGUACAGGAGUAUUUAAGGAAGUAUUUAAGGUAGUAUUACAGCAAUGUUAUAGGAGAAAGUACAGGAGUAUUUAAUGAAGUAUUUAAGGUAGUAUUACAGCAGUGUUAUAGGAGAAGGUACAGGAGUAUUUAAGGAAGUAUUUAAGGUAGUAUUACAGCAGUAUUAUAGGAGAAAGUACAGGAGUAUUUAAGGAAGUAUUUAAGGUAGUACUACACCAGUAUUAUAGGAGAAAGCACAGAAGUAUUGAAGGAAGUACUUAAGGUAGUAUUUCAGCAGAAUUAUAGGAGAAAGUACAGGAGUAUUUAAGGAAGUGUUAAAGCAGUAUUAUAGGAGAAAGUACAGGAGUAUUUAAUGAAGUAUUUAAGGUAGUAUUGCAGCAGUAUUAUAGGAGAAAGUACAGGAGUAUUUAAGGUAGUAUUACAGCAGUAUUAUAGGAGAACGUACAGGAGUAUUUAAGGAAGUAUUUAAGGUAGUAUUACAGCAAUGUUAUAGGAGAAAGUACAGGAGUAUUUAAUGACGUAUUUAAGGUAGUAUUACAGCAGUGUUAUAAGAGAAAGUACAGGAGUAUUUAGGGAAGUAUUUAAGGUAGUACUACAGCAGUAUUAUAGGAGAAAGUACAGGAGGAUGUAAGGAAGUAUUUAAGGUAGUACUACAGCAGUGUCAUAGGAGAAAGCACAGAAGUAUUUAAGGAAGUAUUUAAGGUACUAUUACAGCAGUAUUAUAGGAGAAAGUACAGGAGUGUUUAAGGAAGUAUUUAUGGUAGUACUACAGCAGUAUUAUAGGAGAAAGUACAGGAGUAUUUAAGGAAGUAUUACAGCAGUGUUACAGGAGAAAGUACAGGAGUAUUUAAGUUAGUAUUACAGCAGUGUUAUAGGAGAAAGUACAGGAGUAUUUAAGGUAGUAUUACAGCAGUGUUAUAGGAGAAAGUACAGGAGUAUUUAAGGAAGUAUUUAAGAUAGUAUUACAGCAGUGUUAUAGGAGAAAGUACAGGGGUAUUUAAGGAAUUAUUUAAGGAAGUAUUACAGCAGUGUUAUAGGAGAAAGUACAGGAGUAUUUAAGGAAGUAUUUAAGAUUGUAUUACAGCAGUGUUAUAGGAGAAAGUGCAGGAGUAUUUAAGGUAGUAUUACAGCAGUGUUAUAUGAGAAAGCACAGGAGUAUUUAAGGAAGUAUUUAAGGUAGUAUUACAGCAAUGUUAUAGGAGAAAGUACAGGAGUAUUUAAAUAUUCCUGUACUUUCUCCUUUAAUACUACCUUAAAUACUUCCUUAUAUAUUCUUGAAGUACUUGCUCUGACACCUCCACGGUUCCCUCUGGUGAGUGUUGAGGGUUUUAGUCCGGUCAAACGGGGCUAUAAUCCUUAAACUAACCCGGUUUCAGGUCGAGCUAACCGCACUGAGCCGUGCCGUGCUAACCGGUGUCUCUCCGGCAGUCAGCCCGGUUAGCCAACCCAUGUUAGCUCAUUAGCUCCGCAGCUAAGAGCGCAGCUGUUGCCCGGCUAACAGGCUCAUCAAAGGCCGGUGUGUGUCGCUCCGUCGACCCGGCACACAGCGGCUCUGUCCCCGGCACACAGCGGCUCUGUCCCCGGG